UUUUUCUUUUUUUGUCCUGCUUUUUAGUGCUGGAGCCUGCCUGGACAGCAAUAAUAUGUUCACAAUGGGGAAGCAGAAUGAAUCUUCCAUCAAUGGAUGGUUAUUGUGUCAGGAACCUGUUGCCAAAAAAACGCCAGCAUGGAGGGACCUGCAAGCACCCAGUAUUGCUCAGAGGAGACAGGAGUGAGUGGUGCAGGUACAUCACGUCAGAGACUGACAUGUGAGAGCCUAAGUGCCUCCACCCUUGAAAUUAGGCAUUUUGAAGAACUAUGAAAUUGGAUAUUUGGCACUCGAAUAUACAGUUUCACUUAAAAAACAACUUGUCCCACCCCAAAACUUUAGGUGCCUAUAGGUCUCCUAUCGUCUCAUAAGGCCAACAAACUGGGUUAGCUUUCCCUUUAUUGAGCUCACACGAAGAUGGAUUUGGUGGGGUGAUGCCCUCUGGCUAUAAUUCUAGUAGGAAUUGGUAUGUCUUUGAAUGUGCCGAUGUGUGUUUGGGCCUGUCUGAAAGAUGAAAGGAGUUUGUUUCCCUUUGAUGUACAUCGGUAACUUCUAUAAAUGUUAAUAGAAGGUACAACAUGAUCAUAAGACAUGGGGAGGGGGAGGAACCAACCGUUGUCUCCCUUCCAGCUUCUCUGAGUAAUCUGGGAAGGAGGAACCUCAAAGCUAGGUAGGGCUGGAGUUGACAAAGUAUACCUAGAAUUUACCUUGCUUCAUCUUGUGACCACCAUGUUCCCACUAAUCUCCUGGCACUUCUGUUCUUGGCAGGCACGGAUUCUGACAGGACAACCAUCAUCCUCCAGAUAAGAUCUAACAGGUUAAUAUCCAACAACAUGGGGAAAGUGUCCUUCCCCCGACUUCCCAGGUCAGGCUGGGAAAUGCAAAAUGAAUACCAGCAAGUGCUUUUGAGUCAAAAAUGUGUUGAUGUGAGUUGGAGGGGUAGGCUGUAUGCCUGACCCCCCUUCUAAUUCAUGUAUCCAGCACGGAUUCAAUUCCUGGAAUAUUCAGGCUAGCUUUCUGGUUAGGUAAUGGUCUUCUAAGUACAGGCCAUUAAGUACAUUAUGUGCUAGAUACCAAAUGGGUGGGCUGUAGGCUAGGAGACAGAGCCAUGCCUGAUUUCUGUUGGAAUCCAAGGCUGUGGCUAUGAGGGAAGCCAGACCCUCUUGGGGUGUUUACUGCUAUGAGCCUCUCCAUUGUAGGCUCAGGUGUAAAUAAACCAUAUACUGUAUCCUAAAGAUGCCACAGUCUCUGCUGUCCCUCAUUCCAAGGAAACUGAACCCUGGGCAAGCACCUGGAAGCCCUAAAUCUUGCAUGGCUUGGAGACUGGAGUGGCAUGCAACAGUAUUACCAUUCUUUGGUAGCCUGGCACUACCACUGGGCAAAGUGAAGCCACUCCCUCAGGCACGAGAUGCUGAGGUGUGGCAGUGACAUGGAGGACAGGGCUAUGUGUGUCACUUGCCCUCUCCUACACUCCUUAAGCUAGCCUGCUGACCACUCCUGCUAGCUGCAGCAGUCUCGUGAUUUUUCAAAUCAUUUCCUAAGAGAGUGAGUAAAAAGAAACCCAUUAAACCUUCCUCUUGGCUGACGUUGGCCCUAAGCAUCGUCAAGCCUUGGAGAAAGGUAUUUAAGUUUUUGUUGCUUACUAAUUUUCAGAAUUAAAGGGAAGCUUUCAAGAAAGCCAGUGAAAUGAAUCUUCGUGAUGCUAAGGAGAUGCUUGUCUGGGCUUGUAACAUCCAACCACUUCGGUGUUUCAUAUAUACUGGCACCCGAUUUACAAGAUCUGCAGUAAUCUUUUAAUGCACUGAUCUUGAGAAAAGCUAGGUAAAGAUUUUAAAAAAGGAAUGGAAUUGUCACAAAACAUUUACCUAGGGAUAGCUGUUUAAUGUAUCUGUUUUUGCCUCACUUUUCCCUUUAAACGGCUCUGGGUGUGUCAAGUUAUCUCAUUUUAUCAGCACAACAACCCUCUGAGAAAUGUUAAACUUGGAGAGAUCAGUUUGACUUAGGUAACGUCUAGGCAACCUAUUUAUUGAGCAACAAUCCCCAUUUAUUUAUGGGAGACAUUGCUGUGCCAAGCAAUUGUUGUCCAACACUUUCCAGUGCAUUUUCCUAAGAACAUAAGAAUCUGCUGGGUCAGACCAAUGGUUUGUACAGUCCAGCAUGGUGUUACUCACAGUGUCCAACCAGAUGCCUGUGGGAAAUUAGAAAGCAGGUGCAUUCUCCCCUCCUGUGGCUUCCCACAACUAGUAUCCAGAACUAUUUCGACCUCUGUGGAAGCAGAGCAUAGCCAUAUCCUCCAUUUGUCCAAUCCUCUUGGCCAAGUUGAUGGCCAUCACUGCCUCCUGCAGGCACAAGUUCCAUAGUUUAGCUAUGCACAGUUCCUAUCACAUUCCUUACUGUAAGACAUUCAUGGUUUUCUUUUUGGUUGGGGUGGGGGGGAGCAGUGUUAGGGCUGGAAUUUCACAGAUAUUUUCUGAGAAGUCUUCUUUUUCACACAUCCUAGAAAAAAGGACGCGGGUGGCGCUGUGGGUUAAACCACAGAGCCUAGGACUUGCCAAUCAGAAGGUCGGUGGUUCGAAUCCCCGCGACAGGGUGAGCUCCCGUUGCUCGGUCCCUGCUCCUGCCAACCUAGCAGUUUGAAAGCACGUCAAAGUGCAAGUAGAUAAAUAGGUACCACUCUGGUGCGAAGGUAAACGGCGUUUCCAUGCUCUGGUUCGCCAGAAGCAGCUUAGUCAUGCUGGCCACAUGACCCGGAAGCUGUACGCUGUACGCCGGCUCCCUCGGCCAAUAAAGCGAGAUGAGCGCCGCAACCCCAGAGUCUGUCAUGACUGGACCUAAUGGUCAGGGGUCCCUUUACCUUUACCUAGAAAAAGAAGGCCACCUUCAACAAUUUUAAGAACAUAAGAAGAACUCUGCUGCAUCGGGUCAACGGCCCAUCUAGUCCACCCCCUUCACAGUGGCCAAGCAGAUGCCUGUUGGAAACCCUCAAGCUUCUUGAUGCCUGCUGCAACAACCUUUUGCUUACCUGUGUUUCUCGGCAACUGGCGUUCAGGGGCAUGCCACCAUCAUUUUCUUCUAAUAAUGAGCAUG
rnacentral:lncRNA from 1 species